GACGUAGGAGGCGAGCGUUGUCCGGAUUCAUUGGGCGUAAAGAGCGCGCAGGCGGCUUGGUAAGUCGGAUGUGAAAACCCGAGGCUCAACCUCGGGCGUGCAUCCGAUACUGCUCGGCUAGAGGUAGGUAGGGGAGAUCGGAAUUCCUGGUGUAGCGGUGAAAUGCGCAGAUAUCAGGAGGAACACCGGUGGCGAAGGCGGAUCUCUGGGCCUUACCUGACGCUCAGGCGCGAAAGCUAGGGGAGCAAACGGG
rnacentral:rRNA from 1 species